AGCAUGGAUCAAUCAUCACUUGAUUACUGUAUUGUUUCCAUAAAGUCCCCUGUUAACAGACCCCUCUGCGGACUGCUACAGAGCUUCCUCCCACCUGCUAUUUGGAGUUGAAUCUGAUAGGUAAAACGGCUCCUGCUUGUCAGAGGUUGCUUUAACAAGCUUCACUUCUAGCUGUGUGUGUGACGCAUUCUACCAGCCCCGGAGACUUGCCCAAGUCAGUCUUGUUAUGUGGUUAAUCAUUCACUCACUCACUCAUUCAAAAAAUAUCUACUGAGCACAUACUUUGUGCCAAGCUCUGUGUUAAUUACUCGAUACACAGAGGUAGCAAAGCAAAAAUACAACUCCUGCCCUCGUUGUUCUUAAAAGGGAUGGAGGGAACAGAACAGAAACAGGUUCACGCAAGAUUGUCAAGCAGAGAACUGGCUAAAGGAGACAAGGAAAGAAGCUAAAGAAACUCAGAAGGCCGCUUCAAUUCCCAAGCACGAGACGGUGGCAAGCUGGGUGAGCAAGAGGCAGUGGCAGUGAGAGAAGGGAUGGAUGUGACAGAUAUUUUAGAGGAAGGCAGUUUUCCAUGUCCAGUUUGCUGCUGGAUAACCGCCUCUGGUACAUCUACCCAUUGGGAACAGUCUCCCAUUCUCCUGAAGGGAAAGUGAGUGCUGAUGCUACUCCUGUCUGGGACAGUCCUCAUCUGCCUUGAUGUGAAGCUCUAAGUAACUGAGAAGAUAGAUCAAAGAAAAUUCCCAGCCUACUUAUUGUCAGAAGCUGUGUGUCCUACUUUCAUAGCCACAUCUCCCACCCUGCCUUAACCCUUAUCCAUUUAAAUUAAGGGGUUCCAGUAGGGUGUCCAGGAUUUCCUUUCUUCUCGGUCACUUCAGCCCGGUCUCAUUGCAUCAUAUCUAAUGAAAAUUCUUUGAAUUUUGUGGAAUGUGAUUGGCACCAUUCCCUGGUUUCAAAACAAAUUAGUUAGGGGUAUUUUGUUUUUUGUUUUUUUAAUGUCUCUUGGCCAUUUCCAAUUCUGGGAAAAGCUUCAAAAAUCUAUACAUAAGCUACCAUCUUUCCCAUGAUGUGGGGAACCUUGUGGCAAGGUUUCUUGGUUCUCUCAAAUGUGCCUUAACUCAUAACUAAAUAUUCCUGUAAAAAAUAUUAUAGUAUUAUAUAUUGAAAAUGGAUCUUUUCAAACUCACAACCUAAAAAGGGCUUAUAUUUUAAUGUAUGCCAGAUAGUGUCACCUGGUCCUGUAUUGAUUCAAUUAUACGUUGUUAAUAAGGAUGUCAAGCAGAUCAUCUACCUAGUGUGAGUGUGCUUCAUCCAAUCAGUUGAAGACCUUACUAGAACAAA